GGAAGAGCAUGAAUACUGAGACCCGAAAGAUAGUGAACUAUGUCUGGGUAGGAUGAAGCCAGAGGAAACUCUGGUGGAAGUCCGAAGGCGUUCUGACGUGCAAAUCGAUGCUCAAACCUGGAUAUAGGGGCGAAAGACCAAUCGAACUAUCUAGUAGCUGGUUCCCUCCGAAAUUUCCCUCAGGAUAGCUGGAGCAUUUACAGUCUUAUCAGGUAAAGCGAAUGAUUAGAGGAUUCGGGAAAUUCAGUUUUUUCGACCUAUUCUCAAACUUUAAACAGGUAAGAAAAGCAUGUUGCUUGGUUGAACAUGUUUAGACGAUGUAUGCUCUUAGUGGGCCAUUUUUGGUAAGCAGAACUGGCGAUGCGGGAUGAACCGAAAGCGAUGUUAAGGUGCCUCACUACGUGCUUAUUUAGAAACCAUAAAAGGUGUUAGUGCAUAUAGACAGCAGGGCGGUGGUCAUGGAAGUCGAUAUCCGCUAAAGAGUGUGUAACAACUCACCUGCCGAAUGCACUUGCCCUGAAAAUGGAUGGCGCUAAGCACGUGACCGAUACAUUGCCGUCGAAAAAUUUUGUGUUUUUUUUUCGGCGAGUAGGAGGGCGUCGAGUUUGCGUCGAAGUUUUGCGCGUGAGCCAAAAUGGAGCAUUCUUGAGUGCAGAUCUUGGUGGAAGUAGCAUAUAUUCAAGUGAGAACCUUGAGGACUGGAGUGGAGAAGGGUUCCAUGUUUACUGCGAUUGGACAUGGGUGAGUCGAUCCUAAGAGAAGGAGAAAUUUCCUUUUAAACAUGAAAGAUACAUUGAGAUGUUUUUUCUAAAUCGAAAGGGAAACAGGUUAAUAUUCCUGUACCAAAUGGCGGAGUGUAUGCGGCAACGCAACUGAUUUCGGAGAUAUUAACGUAAACUCUGGAAGGAGUUUUCUUUUCUUUUUAACAGUUUUAUUUUCCACGGAAGCGAGUCGUUCGGAGAAGUGGAAGUAUUAUUGGAAGAACGGUUUUUUUACUACAUUUUUUUUGUAAAGUUUAAUACCGUCCGGUUUGUUUGCGUUGAUCCUUGAAAAUCUGAAGGAAAAAUAAACUUUCGCAUUUGUUCGUACUCAGAACCGCAUCAGGUCUCCAAGGUGAGUAGCCUCGAGUCAGUAGAUAAAGGUGAGUAAGGGAAGUCGGCAAAAUGGAUCCGUAACUUCGGGAAAAGGAUUGGCUCUAAGAGUUGACUGUUUUCUUUCUCUUUUAA
rnacentral:rRNA from 1 species